GGAGAGGUGUCCGAGUGGCUGAAGGAGCACGCCUGGAAAGCGUGUAUACAGGAAACUGUAUCGAGGGUUCGAAUCCCUCUCUCUCCGCCA
rnacentral:tRNA from 1 species